rnacentral:rRNA from 1 species
CGCGAUACAGGGUGACAGCCCCGUACACAAAAAUGCACAUGCUGUGAGCUCGAUGAGUAGGGCGGGACACGUGGUAUCCUGUCUGAAUAUGGGGGGACCAUCCUCCAAGGCUAAAUACUCCUGACUGACCGAUAGUGAACCAGUACCGUGAGGGAAAGGCGAAAAGAACCCCGGCGAGGGGAGUGAAAAAGAACCUGAAACCGUGUACGUACAAGCAGUGGGAGCACGCUUAGGCGUGUGACUGCGUACCUUUUGUAUAAUGGGUCAGCGACUUAUAUUCUGUAGCAAGGUUAACCGAAUAGGGGAGCCGAAGGGAAACCGAGUCUUAACUGGGCGUUAAGUUGCAGGGUAUAGACCCGAAACCCGGUGAUCUAGCCAUGGGCAGGUUGAAGGUUGGGUAACACUAACUGGAGGACCGAACCGACUAAUGUUGAAAAAUUAGCGGAUGACUUGUGGCUGGGGGUGAAAGGCCAAUCAAACCGGGAGAUAGCUGGUUCUCCCCGAAAGCUAUUUAGGUAGCGCCUCGUGAAUUCAUCUCCGGGGGUAGAGCACUGUUUCGGCAAGGGGGUCAUCCCGACUUACCAACCCGAUGCAAACUGCGAAUACCGGAGAAUGUUAUCACGGGAGACACACGGCGGGUGCUAACGUCCGUCGUGAAGAGGGAAACAACCCAGACCGCCAGCUAAGGUCCCAAAGUCAUGGUUAAGUGGGAAACGAUGUGGGAAGGCCCAGACAGCCAGGAUGUUGGCUUAGAAGCAGCCAUCAUUUAAAGAAAGCGUAAUAGCUCACUGGUCGAGUCGGCCUGCGCGGAAGAUGUAACGGGGCUAAACCAUGCACCGAAGCUGCGGCAGCGACACUAUGUGUUGUUGGGUAGGGGAGCGUUCUGUAAGCCUGUGAAGGUGUGCUGUGAGGCAUGCUGGAGGUAUCAGAAGUGCGAAUGCUGACAUAAGUAACGAUAAAGCGGGUGAAAAGCCCGCUCGCCGGAAGACCAAGGGUUCCUGUCCAACGUUAAUCGGGGCAGGGUGAGUCGACCCCUAAGGCGAGGCCGAAAGGCGUAGUCGAUGGGAAACAGGUUAAUAUUCCUGUACUUGGUGUUACUGCGAAGGGGGGACGGAGAAGGCUAUGUUGGCCGGGCGACGGUUGUCCCGGUUUAAGCGUGUAGGCUGGUUUUCCAGGCAAAUCCGGAAAAUCAAGGCUGAGGCGUGAUGACGAGGCACUACGGUGCUGAAGCAACAAAUGCCCUGCUUCCAGGAAAAGCCUCUAAGCAUCAGGUAACAUCAAAUCGUACCCCAAACCGACACAGGUGGUCAGGUAGAGAAUACCAAGGCGCUUGAGAGAACUCGGGUGAAGGAACUAGGCAAAAUGGUGCCGUAACUUCGGGAGAAGGCACGCUGAUAUGUAGGUGAAGUCCCUUGCGGAUGGAGCUGAAAUCAGUCGAAGAUACCAGCUGGCUGCAACUGUUUAUUAAAAACACAGCACUGUGCAAACACGAAAGUGGACGUAUACGGUGUGACGCCUGCCCGGUGCCGGAAGGUUAAUUGAUGGGGUCAGCGCAAGCGAAGCUCUUGAUCGAAGCCCCGGUAAACGGCGGCCGUAACUAUAACGGUCCUAAGGUAGCGAAAUUCCUUGUCGGGUAAGUUCCGACCUGCACGAAUGGCGUAAUGAUGGCCAGGCUGUCUCCACCCGAGACUCAGUGAAAUUGAACUCGCUGUGAAGAUGCAGUGUACCCGCGGCAAGACGGAAAGACCCCGUGAACCUUUACUAUAGCUUGACACUGAACAUUGAGCCUUGAUGUGUAGGAUAGGUGGGAGGCUUUGAAGUGUGGACGCCAGUCUGCAUGGAGCCGACCUUGAAAUACCACCCUUUAAUGUUUGAUGUUCUAACGUGGACCCGUGAUCCGGGUUGCGGACAGUGUCUGGUGGGUAGUUUGACUGGGGCGGUCUCCUCCUAAAGAGUAACGGAGGAGCACGAAGGUUGGCUAAUCCUGGUCGGACAUCAGGAGGUUAGUGCAAUGGCAUAAGCCAGCUUGACUGCGAGCGUGACGGCGCGAGCAGGUGCGAAAGCAGGUCAUAGUGAUCCGGUGGUUCUGAAUGGAAGGGCCAUCGCUCAACGGAUAAAAGGUACUCCGGGGAUAACAGGCUGAUACCGCCCAAGAGUUCAUAUCGACGGCGGUGUUUGGCACCUCGAUGUCGGCUCAUCACAUCCUGGGGCUGAAGUAGGUCCCAAGGGUAUGGCUGUUCGCCAUUUAAAGUGGUACGCGAGCUGGGUUUAGAACGUCGUGAGACAGUUCGGUCCCUAUCUGCCGUGGGCGCUGGAGAACUGAGGGGGGCUGCUCCUAGUACGAGAGGACCGGAGUGGACGCAUCACUGGUGUUCGGGUUGUCAUGCCAAUGGCACUGCCCGGUAGCUAAAUGCGGAAGAGAUAAGUGCUGAAAGCAUCUAAGCACGAAACUUGCCCCGAGAUGAGUUCUCCCUGACCCUUUAAGGGUCCUGAAGGAACGUUGAAGACGACGACGUUGAUAGGCCGGGUGUGUAAGCGCAGCGAUGCGUUGAGCUAACCGGUACUAAUGAACCGUGAGGCUUAACCUUACAACGCCGAAGCUGUU